GACGAACGCUGGCGGCGUGCUUAACACAUGCAAGUCGAACGGAAAGGCCCUGCUUUUGUGGGGUGCUCGAGUGGCGAACGGGUGAGUAACACGUGAGUAACCUGCCCUUGACUUUGGGAUAACUUCAGGAAACUGGGGCUAAUACCGGAUAGGAGCUCCUGCUGCAUGGUGGGGGUUGGAAAGUUUCGGCGGUUGGGGAUGGACUCGCGGCUUAUCAGCUUGUUGGUGGGGUAGUGGCUUACCAAGGCUUUGACGGGUAGCCGGCCUGAGAGGGUGACCGGCCACAUAGGGACUGAGAGACGGCCCAGACUCCUACGGGAGGCAGCAGUGGGGAAUAUUGCACAAUGGGCGGAAGCCUGAUGCAGCAACGCCGCGUGCGGGAUGACGGCCUUCGGGUUGUAAACCGCUUUCGCCUGUGACGAAGCGUGAGUGACGGUAAUGGGUAAAGAAGCACCGGCUAACUACGUG
rnacentral:rRNA from 1 species